GUAUCAUUUCACAACAUUUUCCUUCAAUCACUCCUUCAAAGAGUCGAGUUGUUUGGGAAUGCAGCUCAAAACGGGACGUAAAUUUGUUCCAAAGCUAAAUACCGGCUAGAGACCGAUAGCGCACAAGUAGAGUGAUCGAAAGAUGAAAAGCACUUUGAAAAGAGAGUUAAACAGCACGUGAAAUUGUUGAAAGGGAAGCUUAUGUCAUCAGAAAUGACGUCAAUGUUCAACCUUAUGGUCAAUUCAUUGACGUCAUGUUAGCAUCAAUUGAGAUAACGGGAUAAAAGUGUCGGGAAUGUAGUUUUCUCCGGAAAAUCUUAUAGCCUGAUAUAGAAUGUCGCUAAUCUCGAUUGAGGACC
rnacentral:rRNA from 1 species